GAGGGUAUAGCUGAGUGGCAGAGUGCCUGCCUACCAUGCACAAGGUCCUGGGUUCAAUUCCUAGUACCUCCA
rnacentral:tRNA from 1 species